CAGUUAUUACUGUUUUUUUCUGUUUCACAGGUGGUUGGGCAGUUAUCACUUGCCCAUGUUGGGUUGUGUAUUCAGUCAAAUUCAACCUUAGAGCAGAGAGUCCACGUGACUUUGUGGAUCUCUUGCUGUCCUGGAAACACUUCCCCAAUGUGUCAGUGUAUGAUUAUGCCAGGGGGCUGGCACUGCAUGCCAACCGCAGGCAGCCAGGAAUCUUUGCCCCUUUUCAAGGAAGGUUACUGGAUCCCACCCCAGAGAUUAUAUUAAGAUAGAUAUUAAGCAGGCCUCAGAGGGAAAGGUUCAUGUCAACAUGCCUUGGCUGAAAUUUCCGAAGAUGCCAGCUGACAAAGAUGGUCACCCUCUCACUGGGUCCUCACAGCAAUUUGCUUUGAAUGAUGUGUUCCACCAGGGAAACAGCAAAGGCCAGAGUGAGGUUCUGAGAAAGCUGGAGCUUGUGCCAGAACUUGUUGGUUUUAUUAACAGCCAGUGUGCGGAGCAGCUGUUUUCGGGGAUGAGAAAGAACAAUUACUUUUUGAAUCUGACAACCCCAUCUACGCACAUAUUUCUACAAAGAAACAUUCUCCAUCAUUACAACAUGACAAGGAACCAAAAAAAUUAAAAACCAGUACGGCAAGAUUGUUCCUCCAGAUGUUGCAAUGUAGUGUGACAGCCAUGGAAGGGUAGUCUUAGCUCACUCUCCAUCAGCUGCAAUGUCAACGGGGUCAUCUGGCAAAGAACAAGACGACUCUCAAGAGUUAAAUAAUGACAGUGAGCAGAGACCUUAUGGAGACUUCACUAGUCUCCACAACUUAGCAGCACACAGAGCAUGCUGGGGACAGGAACUCGAAGACAGCCAGGAAAAACUGAUGUCUCAUGUCUUGGAUGAGAGCAAAAGUCACAGUGAGCACCUUGCAAUGGUGAACAACAUCAUCCUGACCCACUUUGACUUUUGGACUCUGGGUUUUCAGCGGGACAUGGAGGGAACGGACAAUGCAGCCAGUCUACACUGGAUUCUUCUCCCAGUGUUCGUACCUGGACAUUGGAUACUCUGUGUAAAUACCUUUAUAUUUUCUGCAAUUUUUUCCUUACACAACAAAGUUGCUCAUUGCUGA
rnacentral:lncRNA from 15 species